UACGAAGGGGGCUAGCGUUGCUCGGAAUCACUGGGCGUAAAGCGCACGUAGGCGGCUUCUUAAGUCAGGGGUGAAAUCCUGGAGCUCAACUCCAGAACUGCCUUUGAUACUGAGUAGCUUGAGUCCGGGAGAGGUGAGUGGAACUGCGAGUGUAGAGGUGAAAUUCGUAGAUAUUCGCAAGAACACCAGUGGCGAAGGCGGCUCACUGGCCCGAUACUGACGCUGAGGCGCGAAAGCUAGGGUAGCAAACGGG
rnacentral:rRNA from 1 species